rnacentral:rRNA from 1 species
GGAGGAAGAGCCCAGCACCGAAUCCUUCACCAUCUCGGUGACAGGAAAUGUGGUGUUUAGGCCGUACCUUGUCCCGACACGUCUCUCCUCAAGUCCACUUGAUUGUGGCCCCAGGCCCAGAGAGGGUGUAAGGCCCGUGGAGGCGAGACGUUCGGUACCUGGUGCGUCCUUAGAGUCGGGUUGUUUGGGAAUGCAGCCCUAAGCGGGUGGUAAACUCCAUCCAAGGCUAAAUACCAGCACGAGUCCGAUAGCGAAGAAGUACCGCGAGGGAAGGUUGAAAAGAACUUUGAAGAGAGAGUUCAAGAGUACGUGAAACCGCUGAGAGGCAAACUGGUGGAACUGAAAUGGUCCCGAGGAAUUCAGCCGUUGGUCGUUGCACAGUCUUUGGUGAUUGAUCUAACGACGGCGCCAUUGAAUGACGUUUCGAUCAUCGGUGCACUUUCCUCGCCUGGGCCCGACCACGACCGGUGAGCUGAUCUGUCUGUCGUGCCUGGAAGAUAGCGCCGUCUUCGGAAGGCGUGUUAUAGACAGGCAUACGGAGCAGUCGGCGCACUGGAUGAUAGUGCCUGCCCAUCUGGGCUCAUAUGGUGGUUGUUUUGUUGGCGAGUUCUGAUGUCACUACUUCGGUAGAGUCGUUAGACUCUGUUGGCAUUAUGGCUGUCCUCUAUGAUUGGCACUGUUAAGUCUGUGGUUGUGAAGUAGGUAGUCCACCUGACCCGUCUUGAAACACGGACCAAGGAGUCUAACAUGUGCGCGAGUCAUUGGGUUCACGAAACCUAAAGGCGCAGUGAAGGUAAAGAUCUGUUUUGGCAGAUUGAGGUGGGAUGCCGGGUUACGCGCCCGGCCGCACUACCGGCCCGUUCUAUAUGUCUUUCAUAGGAGCGGAGCAAGAGCGUACACGUUGGGACCCGAAAGAUGGUGAACUAUGCUUGCGCAGGUCGAAGCCAGAGGAAA